rnacentral:rRNA from 1 species
UACGGGAGGCAGCAGUAGGGAAUAUUGGACAAUGGGGGAAACCCUGAUCCAGCAAUGCAGCGUGAGUGACGAAGGCCUUAGGGUUGUAAAACUCUUUCAUCUGUGAGGAUAAUGACAGUAGCAGAAGAAGAAGGACCGGCUAAUUCCGUGCCAGCAGCCGCGGUAAUAC